UGGAAUAGCUCAGCCAUUAGAGCACUAGCCUUUUAAUCUCAAAGUUGUGGGUUUGAGCCCCACACUGGACAA